GUAUCUGAAGUCUGACGAGGAUGAGAACCUCCGGGGGCAAGAGGUUCGACUUGAGCGAAGCGAGAGAACGUUGCGUCAGCAACGGCCCGCAGUGGCAAGUCAUCCUCUGUCACCGGCAG
rnacentral:sRNA from 1 species